rnacentral:rRNA from 1 species
CCGUGAACCUUUACUAUAGCUUGACACUGAACAUUGAGCCUUGAUGUGUAGGAUAGGUGGGAGGCUUAGAAGUGUGGACGCCAGUCUGCAUGGAGCCGACCUUGAAAUACCACCCUUUAAUGUUUGAUGUUCUAACGUUGACCCGUAAUCCGGGUUGCGGACAGUGUCUGGUGGGUAGUUUGACUGGGGCGGUCUCCUCCUAAAGAGUAACGGAGGAGCACGAAGGUUGGCUAAUCCUGGUCGGACAUCAGGAGGUUAGUGCAAUGGCAUAAGCCAGCUUGACUGCGAGCGUGACGGCGCGAGCAGGUGCGAAAGCAGGUCAUAGUGAUCCGGUGGUUCUGAAUGGAAGGGCCAUCGCUCAACGGAUAAAAGGUACUCCGGGGAUAACAGGCUGAUACCGCCCAAGAGUUCAUAUCGACGGCGGUGUUUGGCACCUCGAUGUCGGCUCAUCACAUCCUGGGGCUGAAGUAGGUCCCAAGGGUAUGGCUGUUCGCCAUUUAAAGUGGUACGCGAGCUGGGUUUAGAACGUCGUGAGACAGUUCGGUCCCUAUCUGCCGUGGGCGCUGGAGAACUGAGGGGGGCUGCUCCUAGUACGAGAGGACCGGAGUGGACGCAUCACUGGUGUU